UACGGAGGGUGCAAGCGUUAUCCGGAUUCACUGGGUUUAAAGGGUGCGUAGGUGGCGACGUAAGUCGGGUGUGAAAGCCCCGGGCUUAACCUGGGAACUGCAUUCGAGACUGCAUUGCUAGAGUAUGGGAGAGGGAAGUGGAAUUUCCGGUGUAGCGGUGAAAUGCGUAGAUAUCGGAAGGAACAUCAGUGGCGAAAGCGACUUCCUGGACCAAUACUGACGCUCAUGUGCGAAAGCGUGGGGAGCAAACAGG
rnacentral:rRNA from 1 species